GGCUCAGAUGGUAAAGCGUCUGCCUGCAAUGCAGGAGACCCGGGUUCGAUUCCUGG
rnacentral:tRNA from 1 species